rnacentral:rRNA from 1 species
UGCAAGUCGAGCGGAUGAUGGGAGCUUGCUCCCGGAUUCAGCGGCGGACGGGUGAGUAAUGCCUAGGAAUCUGCCUGGUAGUGGGGGACAACGUUUCGAAAGGAACGCUAAUACCGCAUACGUCCUACGGGAGAAAGCAGGGGACCUUCGGGCCUUGCGCUAUCAGAUGAGCCUAGGUCGGAUUAGCUAGUUGGUGGGGUAAAGGCCUACCAAGGCGACGAUCCGUAACUGGUCUGAGAGGAUGAUCAGUCACACUGGAACUGAGACACGGUCCAGACUCCUACGGGAGGCAGCAGUGGGGAAUAUUGGACAAUGGGCGAAAGCCUGAUCCAGCCAUGCCGCGUGUGUGAAGAAGGUCUUCGGAUUGUAAAGCACUUUAAGUUGGGAGGAAGGGCAGUAAGUUAAUACCUUGCUGUUUUGACGUUACCAACAGAAUAAGCACCGGCUAACUUCGUGCCAGCAGCCGCGGUAAUACGAAGGGUGCAAGCGUUAAUCGGAAUUACUGGGCGUAAAGCGCGCGUAGGUGGUUUGGUAAGAUGGAUGUGAAAUCCCCGGGCUCAACCUGGGAACUGCAUCCAUAACUGCCUGACUAGAGUACGGUAGAGGGUGGUGGAAUUUCCUGUGUAGCGGUGAAAUGCGUAGAUAUAGGAAGGAACACCAGUGGCGAAGGCGACCACCUGGACUGAUACUGACACUGAGGUGCGAAAGCGUGGGGAGCAAAC